UGUAGAUCAAUGGGUCUAGGAGGCUACAGGAAAUAGGACUACUGUAGGUCAUUGGGUCUAGGAGGCUAUAGUAAAUAGGACUACUGUAGGUCAUUGGGUCUAGGAGGCUACAGGAAAUAGGACUACUGUAGAUCAUUGGGUCGAGGAGCCUAUAGUAAAUAGGACUACUGUAGGUCAUUGGGUCUCGGAGCCUAUAGUAAAUAGGACUACUGUAGAUCAUUGGGUCUAGGAGCCUGUAGUAAAUAGGACUACUGUAGAUCAUUGGGUCGAGGAGCCUAUAGUAAAUAGGACUACUGUAGGUCAUUGGGUCUCGGAGCCUAUAGUAAAUAGGACUACUGUAGAUCAUUGGGUCUAGGAGGCUACAGGAAAUAGGACUACUGUAGAUCAUUGGGUCGAGGAGCCUAUAGUAAAUAGGACUACUGUAGGUCAUUGGGUCUCGGAGCCUAUAGUAAAUAGGACUACUGUAGGUCAUUGGGUCUAGGAGCCUACAGGAAAUAGGACUACUGUAGGUCAUUGGGUCUAGGAGCCUGUAGUAAAUAGGACUACUGUAGGUCAUUGGGUCUAGGAGCCUAUAGUAAAUAGGACUACUGUAGGUCAUUGGGUCUAGGAGCCUACAGUAAAUAGGACUACUGUAGGUCAUUGGGUCUAGGAGCUUACAGGAAAUAGGACUACUGUAGGUCAUUGGGUCUAGGAGCCUACAGGAAAUAGGACUACUGUAGAUCAUUGGGUCUAGGAGGCUACAGUAAAUAGGACUACUGUAGAUCAUUGGGUCUAGGAGGCUAUAGUAAAUAGGACCA